UUGCCCAAUGAUUAUAGCAAGACGCGUUAUUACGAGGACAAAUGCUGGAACUCUGCUUCCCCUCCUCCUCCUCCUCCUCCUUUUUCUUCCUUGUCCCUUUUCCACUUUCACUUUAACUCUCCAUUCUUGGGUGUCCAGUGUCCUGUGAGCAAGAUUAUGAGAUAUGAGGGCAA
ensembl:snoRNA small nucleolar RNA SNORD97